rnacentral:rRNA from 1 species
GAUGAACGCUGGCGGCGUGCCUAAUACAUGCAAGUCGAGCGAACGGAUGAGAAGCUUGCUUCUCUGAUGUUAGCGGCGGACGGGUGAGUAACACGUGGAUAACCUACCUAUAAGACUGGGAUAACUUCGGGAAACCGGAGCUAAUACCGGAUAAUAUUUUGAACCGCAUGGUUCAAAAGUGAAAGACGGUCUUGCUGUCACUUAUAGAUGGAUCCGCGCUGCAUUAGCUAGUUGGUAAGGUAACGGCUUACCAAGGCAACGAUGCAUAGCCGACCUGAGAGGGUGAUCGGCCACACUGGAACUGAGACACGGUCCAGACUCCUACGGGAGGCAGCAGUAGGGAAUCUUCCGCAAUGGGCGAAAGCCUGACGGAGCAACGCCGCGUGAGUGAUGAAGGUCUUCGGAUCGUAAAACUCUGUUAUUAGGGAAGAACAUAUGUGUAAGUAACUGUGCACAUCUUGACGGUAGCUAAUCAGAAAGCCACGGCUAACUACGUG